rnacentral:tRNA from 1 species
GGUCGGAUGGCCGAGUGGCUAGGCAGAGGUCUGCAAAACCUUCUACACCAGUUCGAAUCUGGUUCCGACCU